GCCGCGUUGGCGUAGUGGUAGCGCGUCUCACUUGUAUGCCACACAUGUCCAUCAUGAUGCUUGCAAUGAGAAGGUCACUCGUUCAAUCCGGGUACGUGGCA